rnacentral:rRNA from 1 species
UUGGAGGGCAAGUCUGGUGCCAGCAGCCGCGGUAAUUCCAGCUCCAAUAGCGUAUACUAAAGUUGUUGCAGUUAAAAAGCUCGUAGUUGAAUUUUAGGCCUGGCCGGGCGGUCCGUCUUUGGCGAGUACUGUCUGUUGUUGGGUCUUCCUUCUGGUGAACCAGUAUGUCCUUUAUUGGGUGUGUUGGGGAGCCAGGACCAUUACCUUGAAAAAAUUAGAGUGUUUAAAGCGGGCUAUUGCUUGAAUAGAUUAGCAUGGAAUAAUAGAAUAGGACGUUGUGGUUCUAUUUUGUUGGUUUCUAGGACCACCGUAAUGAUUAAUAGGGAUAGUUGGGGGCAUUAGUAUUCAAUUGUCAGAGGUGAAAUUCUUGGAUUUAUUGAAGACUAACUAUUGCGAAAGCAUUUGCCAAGGAUGUUUUCAUUAAUCAAGAACGAAAGUUAGGGGAUCGAAGACGAUCAGAUACCGUCGUAGUCUUAACCAUAAACUAUGCCGACUAGGAAUCGGGCGUCGUUAUUCUAAUGACUCGCUCGGCGCCUUACGGGAAAC